rnacentral:tRNA from 1 species
UGACGAAGCGUCAGUGCUAGACACUGAAAGAGCUUCGUCAUUUCCAAAGAACAUAGCCGCCGUCCUCAUGUCCCUUCAUCACUAGAGAUUAGCGCAGUUCGCUGCGCUGAUAGCUGAGCAGGCUCAAGCGCCUCUGGCUGCUAACGCAGCCUGAUUUGGCAGCUGGGCCGGUAGCUCAGGUGGUUAGAGCGCACGCCUGAUAAGCGUGAGGUCGGAGGUUCAACUCCUCCCCGGCCCACCAGCAUUUGGUGAGGGGCUUUAGCUCAGCUGGGAGAGCGGUUGCUUUGCAAGCAUCAGGUCAUCGGUUCGAUCCCGAUAAGCUCCACCAUUUGCUGCGCAAAUGGUCUUUUGAUUUGGGUCCGCUGCAUAAGCAGCGACGGCCGUUCGGCCUUGCGAACCUUCGGUUCGUUGGAGCGCCAAUCAAGCGAUCUGCCAGAUACUCUAGUUGAUGAAGAUAGCGGUUUACCAGCCCAAGGCUGGUGAUAUGGCUCGCACAAGCGAGCCUCUUUUGACAUUGUGAAUGGGUUUUUUAAUCGAUGCCGUGGCGACAUGGUUCGGUUUUUGGUGUUUCCGCAAGGGAGCAUCCGGAAAGCGGGCGAUGUUGUACACACAAGAUUAUCUGGCUGAGUUUAAUAACCACACCGAUACAGCUUUCGACAAAUGCUACCCAGUAUGUCGU